CUGCUCAUUUGCUCUGGGCAAAUUACCCUGUUUUUCCUGAGUUCAGAUCUUUUGCAAUCAUGUUGAUUUUAUCUUGUGUUUAUUAUUUUCCCUGGUUCCUGGGGUCUGACCUGGGAAGACCGUCCUGAUCUAGGAGAGGACGCUCAUCACCGCAAUCUUCACCUUACCUUUGGAUACAUUUUGUACCUGAGAUACUAGUGAGUGAAGCAGGGUGUGACAAACUCUCUGAAAGCUCUAGGAGAGAGCACAUGGAACUCCCACACAAGCCAGCAGGAAACUGCAGAGCCUAGGAGAAAAUCUGGAAU
rnacentral:lncRNA from 1 species